AUUGAACGCUGGCGGAAAGCUUUACACAUGCAAGUCGAACGGCAGCACGGACUUCGGUCUGGUGGCGAGUGGCGAACGGGUGAGUAAUGUAUCGGAACGUGCCCAGUCGUGGGGGAUAACGUAGUGAAAAUUACGCUAAUACCGCAUACGAUCUAUGGAUGAAAGCGGGGGAUCGCAAGACCUCGCGCGAUUGGAGCGGCCGAUAUCAGAUUAGGUAGUUGGUGGGGUAAAGGCCCACCAAGCCAACGAUCUGUAGCUGGUCUGAGAGUACGACCGGCCACACUGAAACUGAGACACGGUCCAAACUCAGACGGGAGGCAGCAAUGGGAAAUUUUGAACGAUGGGCGAAAGCCUGAUCCAGCCAUUCCGCGUGCAGGAUGAAGGCCAUUGGGUUGUAAACUGCUUUUGUACAGAACGAAAAGGUUUCUACUAAUACUAGGAGCUCAUGACGGUACUGUAAGAAUAAGCACCGGCUAACUACGUGCCAGCAGCCGCCGUAA
rnacentral:rRNA from 1 species